ensembl:lncRNA
GUAGCCUAGUGCUUAGAAGGGGGAGGCAGGUAGCCUAGUGCUUAGAAGGGGGAGGCAGGUAGCCUAGUGCUUAGAAGGGGGAGGCAGGUAGCCUGGUGGUUAGAGGGGGGAGGCAGGUAACCUAGUGGUUAGAGCGCUGGCACUAGUAACCGCUAGAUCAAAUCCCAGGGCUGACAAGGUAAACAUCUGUCGUUCUGCCCCUGAACAAGGCAGUUAACCCACUGUUCCUAGGCCGUCGUUGAAAAUAAGAAUUUGUUCUUAACUGACUU